GAUAAACGCUGGCGGCGUGCCUAAUACAUGCAAGUCGAGCGAACAGACGAGGAGCUUGCUCCUCUGAUGUUAGCGGCGGACGGGUGAGUAACACGUGGAUAACCUACCUAUAAGACGGGGAUAACUUCGGGAAACCGGAGCUAAUACCGGAUAACAUUUUGAACCGCAUGGUUCAACAGUGAAAGACGGUGUUGCUGGCAGUGUUGGAUGGACCCGCGGCGCAUCAGCUAGUUGGUGAGGUAGAGGCUUACCAAGGCGACGAUGCGUAGCCGACCUUAGAGGGUGACCGGCCACACUGCGCCUGAGGUACGCCCCAGUAUCCAACGGGAGGCAACAGUGGGGAAUAUUGCACAGUGGGCGCAAGCCUGAUGCAGCGACGCCGCGUGCGGGAUGCCGGCCUUCGGGUUGAAAACCUCUUUCAAUGGGGACGAAGCGCAAGUGACGGUACCUAUAGAAGAAGCACCGGCCAACUACGUG
rnacentral:rRNA from 1 species